AAGUCGUAACAAGGUUUCCGUAGGUGAACCUGCGGAAGGAUCAUUACUGAAUUGUCAAACGGGUUGUUGCUGGCCCUCAUAGGGGGCAUGUGCACGCUCUGUUUACACAUCCACUCACACCUGUGCACCCUCUGUAGUUCUAUGGUCUGGGGGACCCUGUCUCCCUUCUGUGGUUCUACUUCUUUACACACACACUGUAAUAAAGUUUUAUGGAAUGUACAUCGCGUCUAACGCAAUACAAUACAACUUUCAGCAACGGAUCUCUUGGCUCUCGCAUCGAUGAAGAACGCAGCGAAAUGCGAUAAGUAAUGUGAAUUGCAGAAUUCAGUGAAUCAUCGAAUCUUUGAACGCACCUUGCGCCCCUUGGCUAUUCCGAGGGGCAUGCCUGUUUGAGUAUCAUGAACACAUCAACUCUCAUGGUUUGCCAUGAUGAGUUGGACUCUGGGGGUUUUGCUGGCCUGUGGUCGGCUCCUCUUAAAUUAAUCAGCCUCCCAGUGUUUGGUGGCAUCACGGGUGUGAUAAAUAUCUACGCUCGCUGUUGUCUGCCAGGUAACCUUUGGUAACAAAGGUUUGCUGGAGCUCACAGAUGUCUCUCCUCAGCGAGGACAACUUUUUUAACGUUCGAUCUCAAAUCAGGUAGGACUACCCGCUGAACUUAA
rnacentral:rRNA from 1 species